rnacentral:rRNA from 1 species
AACGAACGCUGGCGGCAGGCCUAACACAUGCAAGUCGAACGCUUCAGCAAUGAAGAGUGGCAGACGGGUGAGUAACGCGUGGGAACCUUCCCAGUGGUACGGAAUAGCCCAGGGAAACUUGGGGUAAUACCGUAUAAGCCCUUAGGGGGAAAGAUUUAUCGCCAUUGGAUGGGCCCGCGUCGGAUUAGCUUGUUGGUGAGGUAAAAGCUCACCAAGGCGACGAUCCGUAGCUGGUCUGAGAGGAUGAUCAGCCACACUGGGACUGAGACACGGCCCAGACUCCUACGGGAGGCAGCAGUGGGGAAUAUUGGACAAUGGGCGCAAGCCUGAUCCAGCCAUGCCGCGUGAGUGACGAAGGCCUUAGGGUUGUAAAGCUCUUUCAGCGGGGAAGAUGAUGACGGUACCCGCAGAAGAAGCCCCGGCUAACUCCGUG